AGUGCCGAUCCAACCGAGGGAGGAAGCUCCAGCUCUCCCUCUCCACCUCUCUUUUGUCGCCGGCCGCCAAGAAGAGGGACAUCGCCAACAGUCAUCGAGCCCUCUUCAUCUCUAACAUAUACUCGUUCCAUUCUCAUCUCACCAUGACGAACAACUUUGGUUUUGAUCCCAUUCCAUUUCAUCUUCUACAGCAGCGGGAACGCCGCCAUGUCAUGGUCGCUCUAGAGCGCGCUUUGUGCACCGCCGCAGCGACAUCAUCGCCGUUCCCGCUUAUCUGGACCAAGCCGGGCCAAGCUGUCGCGCCAGCGUCUUCGCCUCGACCUCCUCUCCAUUUCCCCUCAAGAAUCUCGAAGGAUGGUGCUACGAGUGUGGAGAUCGUCCACCGUCUUCUCCACCUCCGGUCACCGUCGCCGUUGCCGAAUCCACCCCCUCCGUUCUUGGAGCUGAUUGAGCCAUCGCCGUUCACCCGGAGGUUCUUGCCGCCGCCGAGCCGUUACACGAGCCGUCGUCAUCAACCUAGCUACCCCAGCCAUGUCUAGCAUCUCGGAUUUAGACUUAGUCUUUG